rnacentral:rRNA from 1 species
AUGCAACAGAAGAUUAUCAAGGCGUUUCAUGAUACCCCUCUUGGAGGCCACUCGGGCUUUCCAGUAACAUGGCACCGGGUACGCCAUCUCUUUGCUUGGGCCAAAAUGAAAACACACAUUCAACACUAUGUACGUUGCUGCCCUACAUGCCAACAAGCCAAGCCAGACCGAGCCGCUUAUCCUGGGCUACUCGAACCCUUGCCGGUGCCCAACGAAUCCUGGGAGAUGAUCACAAUGGGUUUCAUCGACGGACUCGCAACUUCUGGAGGUGUGAACUGCAUUCUGGUAGACAUCGACAAGGUGACAAAAUUUGCUCACUUUUUGCCCCUAGCACACCCUUAUACACCCUCCAAAGUAGCACUGCUCUACAUGAACCAAGUCUACAGGCUACAUGGAUUCCCAGGGUCGAUUGUGUUUAACCGCGAUCCGGUAUUCACAAGCCAUUUUUGGUAA